rnacentral:tRNA from 1 species
GGCUUCGUAGCUCAGCUGGUAGAGCGGUUGCCGCGUUGAGGCAUGGCUUGUCUGUCGCUGGUUCUUAACCAGCCGAAGCAC